AUUUUAUUAUUUUAUUCUCCACAAUAACCACUCAGGAGAACAAUUAAAGUGACGAAUGGAACAUUUAAUCUGAAAGUCAGUGGCCAAUGUCUUGGAAGUGUGUGUGUGUGUGUGUGUGUGUGUGGAGGAUAAAAGGUCAAAUUCAUAAAUGACAGAAAUAUAUGUAUGCAUUUGAGGGAGGUGAUAUUGAUAACAGUCCUUUAGGAAAUAGCUACUGGUCACUCCCUUUGGCUGGUUAUUCCCUUAUACCGUAGACAUGAUUAACAUUAAAAUUAGCUGACCAAUGAUCACAAACAUAAAGUGCUUGGUUACCAGUGUGUCAGGGGCUAUGACGAUCGACAGAGAACGUACACGCGUCAAACAGAUAAGCAAAUUCAGCGACUACAGAGUGGACCUCUCAACCAGUGGACAUGGCAAGGG